rnacentral:rRNA from 1 species
CCUGCCCAGUGACUUAACAAAUUCAACGGCCGCGGUAUCCUAACCGUGCAAAGGUAGCAUAAUCACUUGCCCAUUAAUUGUGGGCUAGAAUGAAAGGACUAACGAAAUAGAUACUGUCUCUAUAAGCUCAAUAAAAAUUAAUCUCUAACUGAAGACUGUUAGAUUCCGUCGAAGGACAAGAAGACCCUAUAGAGCUUUAUUUAACAAAAGAUAGAUCACUUUUUUAUAAUUCGGUUGGGGCGACCGGGGAAGUAAUAAAUCAUCCCUUAUUAUCAGAUWACUAAAUCUCAUUUAUGACCCUUGAAAAMGAUCACAAGACCAAG